rnacentral:rRNA from 1 species
CUGCCGAGAAAAGCCUCUAGAUAGAAAAUAGGUGCCCGUACCGCAAACCGACACAGGUAGUCAAGAUGAGAAUUCUAAGGUGAGCGAGCGAACUCUCGUUAAGGAACUCGGCAAAAUGACCCCGUAACUUCGGGAGAAGGGGUGCUCUUUAGGGUUAACGCCCAGAAGAGCCGCAGUGAAUAGGCCCAAGCGACUGUUUAUCAAAAACACAGGUCUCUGCUAAACCGUAAGGUGAUGUAUAGGGGCUGACGCCUGCCCGGUGCUGGAAGGUUAAGAGGAGUGGUUAGCUUCUGCGAAGCUACGAAUCGAAGCCCCAGUAAACGGCGGCCGUAACUAUAACGGUCCUAAGGUAGCGAAAUUCCUUGUCGGGUAAGUUCCGACCCGCACGAAAGGCGUAACGAUUUGGGCACUGUCUCAACGAGAGACUCGGUGAAAUCAUAGUACCUGUGAAGAUGCAGGUUACCCGCGACAGGACGGAAAGACCCCGUGGAGCUUUACUGUAGCCUGAUAUUGAAAUUCGGCACAGCUUGUACAGGAUAGGUAGGAGCCUUUGAAACGUGAGCGCUAGCUUACGUG